rnacentral:lncRNA from 1 species
AAAAGAGAGCCCAAAACAAAAAGAAAGAAGAGAGAAGAAAGAAGAAAGAAGAAAGAAGGAAAAAAAAAUUGGACAGAGUCACAGAACAGAAACUCGAAGAAAGAAGAAAGGAGAAGAAGAAAGAAUAAAAGAGAUGAAGGGAAGCAUACCUGAUGAAGAAAGAAGAAAGAAAAUCGCUGGUCUGCGGUAGGUUUGCCAUCGACUUGAAGGAGAAAGAGUAGAGAAAUCGCGAGCUCCAAUUUUCUGUCGGUAGGUUUGCUGUCGACUUGAAGGAGAAAGAGUACAGAAAUCGCGAGCCCUAACUUUUUGUUUUAACAGAUCGCUGCUACUGCCUUCUUCUUUUCUUUUUAGCAAAAAGCAACGCUACAGCUUGC